AACGAACGCUGGCGGCGUGCCUAACACAUGCAAGUCGAGCGAGAAAGCCCGCAAGGGUGAGUAAAGCGGCGCACGGGUGAGUAACACGUGGGUAAUCUGCCCUAGAGUCCGGAAUAACUCGCCGAAAGGCGUGCUAAUGCCGGAUGAGACCACGGGAGCCUCGGCUCUCGCGGGAAAAGGUGGCCUCUGUACACAAGCUAUCGCUCUAGGAUGAGCCCGCGGCCCAUCAGCUCGUUGGCGGGGUAAUGGCCCACCAAGGCUACGACGGGUAGCUGGUCUGAGAGGACGAUCAGCCACACUGGAACUGAGACACGGUCCAGACUCCUACGGGAGGCAGCAGUGGGGAAUCUUGCGCAAUGGGCGAAAGCCUGACGCAGCAACGCCGCGUGUGUGAUGAAGGUCUUCGGAUCGUAAAGCACUGUCGCGAGGAACGAAUAAGGGGCGGGCGAACAUCCCGUUCCGAUGACGGUACCUCGAGAGGAAGCACCGGCUAACUCUGUGCCAGCAGCCGCGGUAAUACAGAGGGUGCGAGCGUUGUUCGGAAUUAUUGGGCGUAAAGCGCGUGUAGGCGGCCUUGCAAGUUGGGUGUGAAAGCCCUCGGCUUAACCGAGGAAGUGCGCCCAAAACUACGAGGCUUGAGUGCCGGAGAGGGUGGCGGAAUUCCCGGUGUAGAGGUGAAAUUCGUAGAUAUCGGGAGGAACACCAGUGGCGAAGGCGGCCACCUGGACGGUAACUGACGCUGAGACGCGAAAGCGUGGGGAGCAAACAGGAUUAGAUACCCUGGUAGUCCACGCUGUAAACGAUGAGCGCUAGGUGUUGUGGGUGUUGACCCCCGCAGUGCCGCAGCUAACGCAUUAAGCGCUCCGCCUGGGAAGUACGGCCGCAAGGCUAA
rnacentral:rRNA from 1 species